AUAUUCUUAAGUUAAUCAAACUAUUUGCCUUCAAAGCUGACAUUGGGUUCUACCCAGAAUAUG
rnacentral:tRNA from 1 species